rnacentral:rRNA from 1 species
UAAUACGGAGGGUGCAAGCGUUAUUCGGAAUUACUGGGCGUAAAGGGCGCGUAGGCGGCUCUUUAAGUCAGGCGUGAAAGCCCAGGGCUUAACCCUGGAAGUGCGUUUGAAACUGAAGAGCUUGGGUACGGGAGAGGGAAGUGGAAUUCCUGGUGUAGAGGUGAAAUUCGUAGAUAUCAGGAGGAACACCGGUGGCGAAGGCGACUUCCUGGACCGAUACUGACGCUGAGGCGCGAAAGCGUGGGGAGCAAACAGGAUUAGAGACCCUGGUAGUCCACGCCGUAAACGAUGAACACUAGGUGUAGCGGGUAUUGACCCCUGCUGUGCCGCAGCUAACGCAUUAAGUGUUCCGCCUGGGGACUACGGUCGCAAGGCUA